rnacentral:rRNA from 1 species
AGCUCGAUGAGUAGGGCGGGACACGUGGUAUCCUGUCUGAAUAUGGGGGGACCAUCCUCCAAGGCUAAAUACUCCUGACUGACCGAUAGUGAACCAGUACCGUGAGGGAAAGGCGAAAAGAACCCCGGCGAGGGGAGUGAAAAAGAACCUGAAACCGUGUACGUACAAGCAGUGGGAGCACGCUUAGGCGUGUGACUGCGUACCUUUUGUAUAAUGGGUCAGCGACUUAUAUUCUGUAGCAAGGUUAACCGAAUAGGGGAGCCGAAGGGAAACCGAGUCUUAACUGGGCGUUAAGUUGCAGGGUAUAGACCCGAAACCCGGUGAUCUAGCCAUGGGCAGGUUGAAGGUUGGGUAACACUAACUGGAGGACCGAACCGACUAAUGUUGAAAAAUUAGCGGAUGACUUGUGGCUGGGGGUGAAAGGCCAAUCAAACCGGGAGAUAGCUGGUUCUCCCCGAAAGCUAUUUAGGUAGCGCCUCGUGAAUUCAUCUCCGGGGGUAGAGCACUGUUUCGGCAAGGGGGUCAUCCCGACUUACCAACCCGAUGCAAACUGCGAAUACCGGAGAAUGUUAUCACGGGAGACACACGGCGGGUGCUAACGUCCGUCGUGAAGAGGGAAACAACCCAGACCGCCAGCUAAGGUCCCAAAGUCAUGGUUAAGUGGGAAACGAUGUGGGAAGGCCCAGACAGCCAGGAUGUUGGCUUAGAAGCAGCCAUCAUUUAAAGAAAGCGUAAUAGCUCACUGGUCGAGUCGGCCUGCGCGGAAGAUGUAACGGGGCUAAACCAUGCACCGAAGCUGCGGCAGCGACGCUGAUGCGUUGUUGGGUAGGGGAGCGUUCUGUAAGCCUGUGAAGGUGUGCUGUGAGGCAUGCUGGAGGUAUCAGAAGUGCGAAUGCUGACAUAAGUAACGAUAAAGCGGGUGAAAAGCCCGCUCGCCGGAAGACCAAGGGUUCCUGUCCAACGUUAAUCGGGGCAGGGUGAGUCGACCCCUAAGGCGAGGCCGAAAGGCGUAGUCGAUGGGAAACAGGUUAAUAUUCCUGUACUUGGUGUUACUGCGAAGGGGGGACGGAGAAGGCUAUGUUGGCCGGGCGACGGUUGUCCCGGUUUAAGCGUGUAGGCUGGUUUUCCAGGCAAAUCCGGAAAAUCAAGGCUGAGGCGUGAUGACGAGGCACUACGGUGCUGAAGCAACAAAUGCCCUGCUUCCAGGAAAAGCCUCUAAGCAUCAGGUAACAUCAAAUCGUACCCCAAACCGACACAGGUGGUCAGGUAGAGAAUACCAAGGCGCUUGAGAGAACUCGGGUGAAGGAACUAGGCAAAAUGGUGCCGUAACUUCGGGAGAAGG